UACGGAGGGUGCAAGCGUUGUCCGGAUUUAUUGGGCGUAAAGAGCGUGUAGGCGGCCAGACAGGUCCGUUGUGAAAACUGGAGGCUCAACCUCCAGACGUCGAUGGAAACCGUCUGGCUAGAGUCCGGAAGAGGAGAGUGGAAUUCCUGGUGUAGCGGUGAAAUGCGCAGAUAUCAGGAAGAACACCCGUGGCGAAAGCGGCUCUCUGGGACGGUACUGACGCUGAGACGCGAAAGCGUGGGGAGCGAACAGG
rnacentral:rRNA from 1 species